rnacentral:rRNA from 1 species
GACGAACGCUGGCGGCGUGCCUAAUACAUGCAAGUAGAACGCUGAAGGAGGAGCUUGCUUCUCUGGAUGAGUUGCGAACGGGUGAGUAACGCGUAGGUAACCUGCCUGGUAGCGGGGGAUAACUAUUGGAAACGAUAGCUAAUACCGCAUAAGAGUAGAUGUUGCAUGACAUUUGCUUAAAAGGUGCAAUUGCAUCACUACCAGAUGGACCUGCGUUGUAUUAGCUAGUUGGUGGGGUAACGGCUCACCAAGGCGACGAUACAUAGCCGACCUGAGAGGGUGAUCGGCCACACUGGGACUGAGACACGGCCCAGACUCCUACGGGAGGCAGCAGUAGGGAAUCUUCGGCAAUGGACGGAAGUCUGACCGAGCAACGCCGCGUGAGUGAAGAAGGUUGUCGGAUCGUAAAGCUCUGUUGUAAGAGAAGAACGAGUGUGAGAGUGGAAAGUUCACACUGUGACGGUAGCUUACCAGAAAGGGACGGCUAACUACGUG